UUACUUACCUGGCGUUGCGGUUACCGUGUCAUUAUGGCGGUUCCCCCAAGGCAAGGCUUUCCUAUUGCACUUCGGCUUGGCUGACCUCUGCGGAUAUCUCGGGCGCGUAAUUUUUGGUAGUCGGGGCUGCUUACGCGAUAUCCCGGU
rnacentral:snRNA from 13 species